UACAGAGGUCCCAAGCGUUGUUCGGAUUUACUGGGCGUAAAGGGUGCGUAGGUGGUCGGGUAAGUUUGAUGUGAAAUCUCCGGGCUUAACCCGGAAAAUGCAUUGAAUACUAUUCGGCUUGAGGGUUGGAGGGGGGACUGGAAUUCUCGGUGUAGCAGUGAAAUGCGUAGAUAUCAAGUGGAACACCAGUGGCGAAGGCGAGUCUCUGGACAAUUCCUGACGCUGAGGCACGAAAGCCAGGGGAGCAAACGGG
rnacentral:rRNA from 1 species